rnacentral:rRNA from 1 species
UAUAAGGUCUAACCUGCCCAAUGAGAAUUUAAAUGGCCGCAGUAUUUUGACUGUGCAAAGGUAGCAUAAUUAUUAGUUUUUUAAUUGAAAGCUUGUAUGAAGGGUUGGACGAGAUAAAAUCUGUCUCUAUUUAAGUUAAGAUAGAAUUUAACUUUUAAGUCAAAAGGCUUAAAUAAUUAUAAAAGACGAGAAGACCCUAUAGAUCUUUAUUUAAUUAGUGUUUUGAUAGUUUAGGAUUAUUUUGAUUAAAAGUAUCGAUUAAAUUUUAUUGGGGUAAUAUAAAGAUUAAAUGAAUUCUUUUUAUUUAUUACAUUGAUUUAUGUAUAUAUGAUCCAUUAUUAUUGAUUAUAAGAUUAAGUUACCUUAGGGAUAACAGCGUAAUUUUUUUGGAGAGCUCUUAUCGAUAAAAAAGUUUGCGACCUCGAUGUUGGAUUAAAAAUUAGCUUGGGUGCAGAAGCUCAAGAUUUUGGUCUGUUCGACCAUUAAAUUUUUACAUGAUCUGAGUUCAGACCGGCGUAAGCCAGGUCGGUUUCUAUCUUUAUUUUGUUAAAAUAUUUUAGUACGAAAGGACCAAGUAUUUGAUAUAUUAUAUUUAUUUUUUGAAUAAUAUU